UACGGAGGGGGCUAGCGUUGUCCGGAAAUUAUUGGGCGUAAAGCGUGCGUAGGUGGUGAGUUAAGUCUGUCGUGAAAGCCCCGGGCUCAACCUGGGAACUGCAUUUGAAACUGGCGGGCUUGAGUGUGGCAGAGGGGGGUGGAAUUCCGCGUGUAGCAGUGAAAUGCGUAGAGAUGCGGAGGAACACCGAUGGCGAAGGCAGCCCCCUGGGCCAACACUGACGCUCAGGCACGAAAGCGUGGGGAGCAAACAGG
rnacentral:rRNA from 1 species